AGCAAGACAGCCUCUAAAAUGAUUGCCACUAUUCAUACAAAAGAUAACAGUUUUAUAAAUGAAGCCCAUCACCUUUCUUGGUUCAGCUUUCUUGAUCCACCAGAACUAUAUUGAUGUGGGAUUUAACCCCUACAGAGUAACAUUUACUCACUCCUGGGCACUCUAAAGGGAUCCGCGGGGACUGCGCCGUCUGCGUGAGAACACAACGCCUCUGUAGGGCACAUUAACAACAGAACACGGGUGUGGUUGCGCUUGUGUGCUAAUACAGACCGAGGAGGACACGGUUUUAGUAAGGGAGGAAAGGAUGAGCAAAGGUUCAAGCCUUCAACGACUCACUUCAGAGUAGUUCCACUGCCAUGUCUAGACCAUGAGCUCGUGUUGAGAAAAAGCAUAAUGAAAAAGGGUAGCUUGUCACAGAGGUAAGUCAGAUUUUCACAGAAGUUACUUUUUAUUCCAAUAUUCUUAAAAACUUUAAUAGACAGCCUUAAUAGAGAGACAGGAAUAGACUGAAGACGUCUGAUGAAUUAAACUUUCAGAGAAAACGUACAGCAGAUUAACCAGCAGAAAAUUCCAAAUUUAAGACCAAAAUGAAAUGUUUUUUUUUUAUUUAAACUAAAUUCUCCAAGGAUAAACAGUAAUAGAAUAAAUCAUUGUGAAACCAAGAAGAGCUGUACAUCCACCGUUUACAGGACAAUAAAAAUGGCCAAGGAACAAAAACUUACGAGUGCAAGCAUGUCUCACUAAAGUGACCUAAAGCCAUGUCACUGAUUCACUAGUGUCAAUACUAUAUGAAAAUGCAUUGUCUCGCAAUAAAAAGGCCUUUUUUUAAAGUCCGAAGGACAUCUGUGUGCUUUGGUGUGCUUUAUAAAAGAUGUAUGCCUCUGUGUUGAAUUCCAUCUGUGGAAUCCAUUUGUCAAAGUUAUUCAGUAAUGAUACUUCAUUGUGGGCAGCACAAUCGCACAGUGGUUAGCAUUGCUGGCUCGCCGAUAUGGAGACCAGACACUGGAAACACCAGUUUGUUACUCACAAACAAAGAGUAACAACACAACAUCCUGCAUUGUUGCAGGGUGAGCUACCCGUAUCUCGACGAUUAGCUUGUCUUGUAAUGUGGUUACAUUUUUUCCUGCGUAUUUACCUUUUUCCUACCUUAAAUGAGCAAGCCCAGGCAACACAACGGCGCAGUGGUUAGCAUUGUUGCCUUGCAGUGCUGGGGUCCCAGUUCCAAGUCUGGAGCCAGGAACAUGUUUGAAUGUUCUUCCCAUGUCUGUGUGGGUUUCCUCUGGGUACUCCAGUAUACUCCCACAGCCCAGAAAUAUAAUGGUAGAUUAGUUGGCUUAAAGGGAA